rnacentral:lncRNA from 1 species
GAAUACCUCAUUACUUGGCCCUCAAAAAACACAUUUGGACAGGCUCAAGGCUCCUGUCUCAUAAUUCCCAUGCUUUUUUAUGUGGAGCCAGAAAAACUACCAGUGUCUUUUUGUGCCCUACAAGACACGGAGAAAACAAGAAUGGAGUGGGGGUUGGACCACUCUUCUUUCCAAGUACUUUAUAUCCAGCACCAUUGAUACAUCCUUUCAAAGAUAGUCUCCUACUUUCAGAACUCUCCAAGCUAAGUGUACCCCCAAACCUCAAGGGACAUAUGGCAAGCAAACCCUCUUUCCCCCAUAGAUGGAAAAAGUUGCUAAAAUCUAACUGCUACAUUCCUAGAUUCUCAGAUCCCCAAGUGCUUUCCCAAGGAAAGGACCCUCAGCAUGGUCUGUUCCCAUAUAGGAAGCACAUACAUGAGUCUGUCCCUGAGCCAGCACCUAGCUGAGAAUAAGUUGCUGGUGUCCCACCUUACAGUCACCUCCAACACUUAGGGAGGAUUCUUUUGGAGUUCCCCUCACUGGGCUUCAGGCAGGAGAAAACACCCUCCUCUUCUUCCACGUGGGAGAGGAAGAAGCCUCCUCUUGCCUUUCCUCUUCAUCUUCUGUAAAGCGUGGGUGGGGAGAGAGUGAACUUGGUGCCAGGGCUGCACCGGACUUCCCAGUGGGGCCGCAGGAGGAAGGCUGGCCCCAGACCUGACGGCUAGAGUGUGAAGUCAUGACUGCCUUUACCCUCAACUGGCCUCAGCCUCAGCUGUGGGAGGUCAGGCAGGAUCCAACUCAUCAUCUUGUUGACAGCUGAUAUACUCUCAAUUGGUUUACCUCCAGAUGGCGACAGUUGCUCUUCUCGUCUCCGUGGGGGGCUCUUGGAUGAUUUAAAAAUAUUUCUUCUCUUUUUUUUCUUUAUCUGCAUCUAUAUUUCCUAUUUUUUCUCUGAGGGGCAUAUAUUCACUGUAUAAUAAAAAUAAAGAAUUUUCUCUGUAUGCUCCACCUUUAUUGACAGAAAAUUGCUGGACACCCUUAAAAUUAUUCAUUGAAUUAUUAUUAGUUACAUUUUAGUUUACUGGCAACUUGCUUGAAUCCUCAGAUGUGGAAAUGAAUUCCUUACCUUUUGACUCUCUUUUUUGUUAUGCACUUGAAAUUCUGCCACCACAUUUUGUUUUGACUUUCAAUUCAUACUUUAAUAAAAGUAAUUUCUGUUUCAAAGCUGUAAAGGAAAUGGAAAACUGAAAAUUAAAUUAAAUGUUAUACUUAAUCUCUGACUUAGCAUGAAAAUACCUCCUCCAAACAAGAGAUAGUGGAAAUGAUAAUUGUUCUGUGCCAGCCAUCCUAAGAGAAAAUUUAAAAUAUGCAGAUAUGGGCUUCUUCUGAGACAGCAAGCUCAGCCUUUGCCUCCCUGAGGUGGAGAGGAGCUCACUGGCAUUCAACCGAAGGACUUCCUUGAUUGGAUUGAACAAAUUCUUUGGUCAGUGCAGGACACAGAGCACUGGGAAAUGGUUCUUGACCAGCCUGGUACUUUUCCACUUCGUCCUGGCUAGCUCUGUGUUCUUUUCAGUUGCACUUGUUCUCCCCAUACAUCAAGUUCGUUGGGCAAUACUUUGACUUUUCAGACGAAAAUUCUUGAUUGAAUAUCAUUUGAAUGUUUUUCAUUCUGGCAUCAUGACCUAAACAAGGCAAAGGGUUUUCAAUUCCAUUUAGCAUGAAUUUAUUAGGCAUCUUUGCCGUGCCAAGCUCUGUGCUGGACACUAUUAGCGACUGGGGGACAGGAGAAGCAACCCUAAGUUGUGCUGAAUCUAAACAACAAAAUGAUGUCCUUCCGUGCCUCGUGACACUGAUCUUAUUUGGACACUCCUUAAAGAAUGUAGUCUCUUCUCUCAAGGAAGUAACAGUUUAGUGCAGAGGAUAAGAAUUCCACAUAUCAAACAACUGAAAGGCAAGAGAAGAAGAAAAUUACUCAGCGCUGAAUCAUUUGGUGAGGUUAACUGAUGAGGGGCUCAGGCACGGAAGGAUCUGGGAGCAGCACUGGUGGACAGUGGCUACUGUAGACGGAGGGAGUCAGAUGAGCUGGAAGAAUGGAUGGGCGCUGGCCAGGCAGAGCCAGGCAAGGACUUUCUGUGUGUGGAUAAGUUCUGUGACCCCAUGCGCGUCCACAAACGCUAAAAAAUGAAACAAAACAAAGAACAACAACAACAAAAACCCAGAGGGGCCAGUUGACAAGUAGAAGAAGAGAGUUUGCAAUUAUUCGUGAUAUAUAUAUGUGAAGUAGUAAUAUUUUAAAAUAUUUGUCAACCAAACAAGUAAGCCAAAAAAAACAAAAACUAACUAAAAUGACAGGGUUUUAAUAAAUUGAUGUCCUGAGCCUUAUUUAGUCCAUAAUGUUUUUUAUGAAUGGUAUGAAGAAAGGAUAAUAGCACAUAUAUGGACCCUUUAUACAUAUACUGUCUCAUUUAAUUUAUAUAACAAUGCUGUGAAGUAGGAAUUGCAUUUGGUUACUGGUAAAGAGACGGGAAAAAUAGCGGCCGAAACAAGAAAGGGGUUUAUUUUUUUCACAUUAAAAUCUCCAGAGAUGGUCAAUCCUGGUCCAGCUCCAUGGCUAUCAGAGACCCAGGCUUCUUUCACCUCUCUCUUCACCAGACACAGUGAAGGGCCUCUAGUCUCUUGAUAGCCUCAUGGUAGCAAGAUGGCUAUUUUAGCUCCCACCAUCACAUCCAUGUUCCAGGUGGGAGGAGGAAGAAAGGAAGCUGAAAUGCAGAGGGGCACACCUCCUAACUCUCUUUAAAGGAGAUUCUAGGUUCUCUGUAAAGAGAUUUCCAAAAAACCCACUUCAGUGAUUUCUGAACCAUGAUCUCACCCCAUCUGCAAGGAACGAUGGGAAAGGCACUUCAGUUGAUCAUAUUCUGCCCGCAUGGACAGAGUCUGUGCUGGGAAGGAGGGCAGGGAGGCGGUACCUCCUAUCAGCCAGGCUGCGGGAAGCGAGCCCCCAAGGUGCCGAGUGGCCUCCCCGAGCCACACGCCGGGUCCCGAGCGCCGCUCCGUCCGCCCUCUGCGCAGGCCCGCGCCGGCCCUUCGAGGCGUGCGGCCCCCGAGGCUGCCUCAGGCCUUCCCGCGGACGUGCUGAGCUGUCCUCCUCGCGGGGUGGACCCUUUCCGGCUGCCGGGAGCUGCUGCGUCAGUGGCGGGGGAACCCGACCGAGCGAGCUCCCACCUGUGCGCCUGGGCGGCCCGUGCGGUGGGGCGUGGGAGGCGCGCUUCCUGGGCGUCCUGGGAGCCGAGCUUCUGCGCAGACGCGGCGUCUGCUGUCCCACGUGCUUCCUUUCAGCUCUGCUGACCUGGCCCCUCCCUUCAGCCCCUCCCGCUUAACAUUUAGCCAUUUGUCUUUCUUUCCCCGACAUCCACCUGUCUGCCUCUCCCGGAUCUGACGCCCAGUUACGAACUCCGUUCUCCAGAGAGAUUGUGAGCAAAGACACGUGCAGGGGACGUGUUACUCAGCCUCAAUCCUCAAGUGCAAACUAUUUUUUUUAACAUUUACUCUGCACAGAUCACUGUGCCAGGAACUACCGGGUUGAUUACGAAACAUAAGGUAGAGUCACGCUUGACCUCAAGGAGUAAACAACCUCAUCGCGGAAAUGGAAGGCGCACUAAGCGACAGGUAAUCGUGCAAGGAAGUGUGGAAGCGCCGUGAGAAGAGAGAGCACCGUGAGCGAAAGUGUUGGGAGGAAAGACAAGCCGCUUUUGACUGAGGAGGUCGGGGACAGCGUCACGAGACGAGAGAGAAUGGAUUUGAUCCCUGUUGAAAUUAGGAAAGGGGAAAGGAGGUAGAGAAUGAUAUGAGCAGAGCCCAAGACUACAAAAGAAAAGACGUUCCCAACUCAGUUUGUGGAGACUCUGAAGGUUCCACAGAUAAGUGACACCACGCAGUAUAUGUCUUUCUGUCUGGCUUAUUUCACUGAGCAUGAUGCCCUCCAGGUUCAUUCUUGUUCUGGUCUCCAGAGAGGAUCGCAGGCACGGCGUGUGCUCAAUCAGAUGCCCAGCCCUCAGGCAGCAGCCAUUGGAGUGUGCACAUGGAACCUCUCAGGGGAAGCCUGGGAGAUGUGGAUUUGGCCUGCUUCUCUGCACGGAGCCCUGGGGUGAAAGCCGUGGGGUGCUCUGUACCCCUUAACAACUGCUCCUUUGUUUGCUAGAGUCUGCGGGAAUUUUCUUUACUCCCACUGGGAGUGACCAAGGCUGCUUGUCCCUCUAAACCUGCUCAAAAGAUGAUUGUGUAACUCCAAAUUACUUCCCUCGUGCUGCUGAGUCACCCUAACUUAUCCGCAAGUUUUCUUCCUGGAGGACCUGGAUCCUACGAAGCAAGCAGAAGGCACACACGAAGCCAAUCACUCUCGACCCCUACCCCAGGAUCUCUCAUCCUCUCUCCCCCCCAGCUAAAGCAUUCAGGUCUAGAAAUAAGGCAUCAAACUCAUCAUUUUUUAAUAUAACAAGCAUAGUACUUUUGACUAACACUUGGACAUAAAUUAUUUAAUACAAUACAUUCGUAGUCAGAAUUCCCCACGUGGGCUGGCCCCAUGGCCAAGUGGUUAAGUUUGUGGGCUCUGCUUCGGUGGCCCAGGGUUUCGCUGGUUCGGAUCCUGGGCACCGACAUGACACUGCUCGUCAGGCCACGUUGAGGCGGCGUCCCGCAUAGCGGAGCCAGAAGGAGCUCCAACUAGAAUAUACAACUGUGUAUUGGGGGACUUUGGGGUGAAUAAGAAGAGGAAGAAAAGACUGGCAACAGAUGUUAGCUCAGGGCCAAUCUUUAAAAAAAAAAAAAAAAGAAUUCCCCAAACAUUACUGAAACAGAUCAGCUUCCUGGUCAAUAGCUUCUGCUUCUGUGAUAGAUCACUUUCAUGUUCCCAUUUGGUUUCCAUUAUCAUUAGCAAGUGAAUAUUGUUUAUUUUGCAUCCAUGAGAUCUGAAGUCAUAUCCAAAGGCCUAAGCUGGACACUACAGAUCAACUUCAUUUCCAUCAGAAUCUGACUGAAUGUUACUUGAAGAAGGCAUUUGAUCGUGAGGCAAUUGUCCUUCUGUAAUUUGCAAUUGGAUUUUCAUAGGUCCACUCUCUGUCGCUACAUUCUUCUUCAUAUGUUAUUUGACAUUUUUCUCAUGAGCGUUUAGUACUACUGGUUCUUGGUAGAUGGGUUCAGGACACAGGCAUACAUCAUGUAAAUUAAAUGUGACAUAGAAGUGAUCAAGAAUGCCAGCCAGAAACAUUAAUUUCCUGAAAAUCUGGCUACCAGAACUAUAUACGGUGAUCCAGAUAUGAUAGGAUUAUUGCAGGGUGGAAUUCAAUCUUUUCCACGCUAGUCUUGGACGCCAUGCUUCUCAUAAUGCAGUGAAGUUUGCAACACUGUGCCUUUGGCUCGUACCGAACUUUCCGUGAAUAAAAUCCCACAGCCUUUCUUCCACAAAUGGUUAAGUCAGUUCUCCCACAGCCUGCAAUUUUACCAGUGUUUGUCUAAGCCUAGACUUUAGCUUCAUAGUUUUUCCCAAAUACAUUUUGUCUUAUUAGUUUUAAGCACGUUUUCUGGCUGCUUGUCUUUGACAGCUUCACUCAGAAGAAUCCUGCUCAUCGAUUCAUCCCUCCUUCAGAAUCUUUUACCCGGGACGCUUACAUCCGGCUAAAUCAGGACAUUCUGAACCGAUGUUAUACUAAAUGCCUUGAACUGCUUUGCAAUCAAUGCCUUGGAACGGAGUGGGGAUGAGGGAAAGGGAAGAGAAGGAGGGUAAGAGAUAGAAUAAAACUGGAAGAUGAGUAAAUUUUUUUAACCUUGGAAUCAAGAAGUUCAUUAUGAAUAUGACAAACACAGCUGUAACGGACCUAGGCAGUGACUCAGCCUGCCAUCCUGGCCGUCUUUUAACUUUGGCAGCAUGAAUUGAAACUGAAAGACUUCUGCUGCUCUGGCUGAGGAUUUUCAUUUAGCCUCACCACCAAGAAAAAUCAGCCUGGAGCAAUGAGUGUGCUGAUUUUGUUAAUUCUCUCAAAUAUGUCGGUUGUUUGAAUCACUACUGAUUAAAUAUUCUUGACACUUUUCCUUUCUCAGUGUGCCAUGACUCAUCAGGUGAUCACAGUGGAAGGCAAAGGCUAAAUCUGUUUCUUUAAACUGUUUACUGAACGUGACCAAUGGAAGAAACCGCUCCAGCUAAGAUGAUGAGUGGCACGUUGGUAGGCUGCAUGUCUAUUACCUAUCUGUUCAUAGUCUUCAAGAAACGAAAAUAUUAGCUAUAAGGAAACAUCACCAGGAGCUGAGUCAGACCAGAGACGUGAAGUACGGCAAGGCUGGGCUUCUGCUGCCAAACAAGCAUUUCCCAGGUGAGGCAGAUGGCUCUGCUGCUGCUGAAGGUCAUUUCGAGGCAGAAAUUUUGGCUGUGAUCAUGGAUUUUCUCUUUGCCUUAUCAGGAGUUGUGUUCGAAUUCAUUCCAAUAUUUGAUUUUCUAUUUCCCUAACAGUUUGAAUUUUAAGAUAGUAAAAUGACUUGCCACAAAGAAACUGGGCCUUUCUAGAAUGUUACCUGAAAGUUCACAGAUACUGUGCUACUUUUAGCGUAACAAAAGUUAGAUUUUCUGUUCUGUCUAUGACAACAUCAGGAAAAGGAGGACCUACCACCACAAAUCACUCACUCCCACCCCCCUCGUCACCCAUCGGGCUCUGUCAGCUGUAAUCAGGGAGGGCAAUCACCUUAUUCAGUGUAGCAGGAGUACUGCUCCAGAAGUUAGGAGAACACAUUUGCUCUUCUUAGCUCUGCCUACUCAUUGUGUGACCUUGGGUAAGUCGUUUAAAUUCUCUGAUCUGUAAUUUCUCAUCCAUGUAGACAUUAGACAAGAAUAAGAUCUUGGAUUUUAUAUUUCACUCCAUGACUUCCUCCAUCCCAACAAGAAUUAUCUUCCUGGAAUGUGACUAGGAUUUUAUAUGUGUACCUCACUCAAUGUAAUCUGGGAUAUUAGCUUAAUUUAAUGAUCACUUGGAAAAUAAUCUGAAGAAAAGCUCAGAUAACAAAUCAUAUAUUUUUCUUCUGCCAAGAAAGAUCCUGUUUUAGGGGUUUGGUUUUGCUGACUUCAGAGAUCAUUUUUAAAAACAUCUUUAGGUAGAGUGAUAUAUUAGUCUAUGCACAGAACUGCUGUCUCAGGGGUGGGGGGUGGGGAAGGUUUAAGGGCUAUGAGCCUCGUUCUGAGGGCUCCCUGACUCCUCUCUGGGAUUCCGGCCAGACACCUCACUUCUUUGUAUCUGAAUAUCUUUAUUUCUAUCUGGGAGUUAGACAGUUAUUGCAGCUUGCCUCAGGAAACUGUGGCAGAUACAAAUCAAAAUCAUUUGGGAACACAAUGCCCAUGGGACAACAUCAGAAGAAUAUUAAAAUUUUAACAGUAAGUAAAAAACUAAAAGUUGCUUCCUUCAGGCUUUGUUAUUGACAGUGUAAGUGCCUCAUGAGUUGGAGACUCUAACAUCAUCUGUAGGUUGCCAUGGCAACAGCUACUGUUACCAGCCUACCUGGAAGGAUCUGAAUGUAAGGUAAUAAUUCAGAAGUCUCUCCUGGCGGUGACUCACGAAGUGCCAGGCAUCUUCCUCCUCCGGUCUGUGUACUUGCCCAAUUUCUCACUUGCCGCUGCAUCAAGAGCCAUUUUGUGCUCUGCGUUUCUCUUCUGCGGGACUACAUGGUUCCAUCGGCCAUCGGUCUGGGAUAAUGCUCCUUCUCUUCCUUGGCAGAUUUAGAAGGUGCUGAGCCCCUCCUAGAGCAUCCAGUAGCCACAGGCACCCUGGAGGCAGGAGGUGAAAGUCACAUGGCCUGGGCAAGGGACGAGGCACUGCCUGGUUAGAGUGAGCCAUGGUUCGUGCUGGAGCGGUCACCGUAGGAGCAGCCAGGGGAAGUGGCCUCCACUAAUGAAGCUUAACAAUGUGCCAGCUGUCAAAGGAGAAAUGUUCCAAUGUCAUAAGCAUGACAAUGAAGGGUGGAUUUGGAGCAGAGAGGACUACAUUGAUACAUUGUUAAUGGUAUAAACUAAUGAAUCCAUAAUUACAUCAAAUGUAAGUAAACUAAACGAUCCAAUUAAAAGCAAAGAUUUUCAGACAAUUACAACUAGGCGCUCUUUACAAGAAACAUCUUUAAGAAGCAAGGACACAGAAGAUAUGAAAACAAAAGUUUUAAUCUCAAUUACUAGAAAUAAAGAAGGACACUUCAUUACAGUAAGAAGUUCAAUUCAUAAAAAAUUUCUAAUUAAAAAAAUUAAAAAUUGUAUGCAUCUAAUAAUUUAGCCUCAAAAUACAUAAAGCAAAAAUUGUAGAGUUACAAAGUGAAAUGGACAAAUCCAUAAUAUUGAGAAACUGUAACACACAUUUUUCAGUAAUUGAUUAAAUAAGUAGAUAAAAAUUACUAAGGAUAUAAAAGAUUUGUGGGAUUGUUGCAAUGAUAGACACAUAGAUAAAUGGGGCCAUAAAGAGAACCCACAAAUAGAGCUACACAUAUAUGGAUGCUACACAUUUAUGGAUAUCACAAAAGUGGCACUGGAGGGCAGUGAGGAAAACGACAUUUUCAAAAAGCAUUCUUGGACAAAGAAAACCACUUGAGAUAAAGAAAAAGACUGAUACAGUGGACUAAUAUUAAAAUUAUGAACUUCCGUUCAUCAAAAGACACCAAUAAGAGAUUAAAAGACAAGGUACAGAGUGGAAGAAGUCUUUUGCACAACAUCAAUAUGACAUAUAUUAACCAAGAAAUCAUAUCCAGAGCAUUAUGAAAAAGACGGACAAUUCAAUUAACAAAAAAAUGGGCCAAAAUUUUAAACAGGCAUUUCACAUGAGAAGAAAUCCAAAUGGCUGAUAAAGGUGCUAGAUCUCAUUAGUAAUCAAGGAGAUGAGAUUUAAGCUAAAAUGAGAUCUACAUACCCACAGGAAUAGCUAAAAUUAAGAGUCCGACAAUACCAAGAGUUGGUGAGAAAGUGGUGCAAAAGCAACCUUUAUUCACUGCUGAUUAGAGAGUAAAUUGUUGCAAACCCUUUGGAAAACAGGUAGGCGUUGUCUAGCAGGAAUCAAGAUACAUAUGUCCUGUAACUCAACAAUUCUUCUCCUAAGUACAUACUCUACAGAAAUGGGGGCCUAGAUGUAAACACAUGGACAAGUAUUUUCAUGCAGCACUUUGGGUAAUAGCCAAAUCGAGGAAACAAACCAAAUAUCUAUCAAUGAUGGAGUGGCUUAAAAAAAAAGUGUGGCAUAUUUAUUCAACUGAAUAUUACACAGCUUCAAAAACAAAUUACCUUAACAUGGCUGAAAGAUUGUGCCAGAAAUUUACUUUUUCUCUCUUUUAAUCCUGUUAAUAAUACCACGAGAACAGUAUUACAGUAUCAGCUCUAUUUUAGGAGUAUGCACUAAUUUUAGCAUUUUUGUCUUCCAAAAUCUAGCACCGUACCUGGCAUAUGAUAAGAACCCUAUAUGUUUAUUAACCUGGGGCUCAGAGAAAUUAAUGCUUUUUUUUCCCCAAGGCAGCGUAAUUCACAAGGAUAGGAACCUGCAAACUCCAGUUUUCUGAGUCCGAGCUCCAUUCAACAUGGCGCAUCCACCUUUCUGCAUUUCUGCUGUGACAGAUAGAAGCUCACUCCGAUUCUGGUCACCAAGUGCACACAUAGCUGUAUAUAAAAUAAAAGUUUCCAACCGUGGACUGCAGAAGAUUGCAAGAUUAAAGGCAUUUAGAAAUGGGGUGCGAGCAGGGGCAGCCUUGACUACAGAGCCUGCCCAUGGUAGGACAAAUGGGAAUUGUGCACCGUUUACUGCCGUGUUAACUUGACAUUGGACAAGGAACCAGCAUCCUUUCCUCCGGGAGAGAGGCGCUCUUCUUUUGCCCUACGCAGAAUAUUUACAGGGGUCAUUCUGGACGCAGCAGAGAUAAUGUUAAAUUAUUAUUUUAAAGUACUUUUUGAUUGUCCCUUUUUUUCCCGCAUGUGCUGUGGGAAACACAUUUAACAAGUCCAUCAGAAUGUAGUCAAGAAGUAUUGGUGUAAAGACUAUUUGAAUACAGUUAAACAGACUUCAGGCCUGGGUCUCUGGACAUACUUGCCACUGUGGAGGUAA